AUUGAACGCUGGCGGCAGGCUUAACACAUGCAAGUCGAGCGGAGAGAGGUAGCUUGCUACUGAUCUUAGCGGCGGACGGGUGAGUAAUGCUUAGGAAUCUGCCUAUUAGUGGGGGACAACAGUUCGAAAGGAAUGCUAAUACCGCAUACGUCCUACGGGAGAAAGCAGGGGAUCUUCGGACCUUGCGCUAAUAGAUGAGCCUAAGUCGGAUUAGCUAGUUGGUGGGGUAAGGGCCUACCAAGGCGACGAUCUGUAGCGGGUCUGGGAGGAUGAUGCGCCACACUGUGACUGAGACACGGCCCAGACUCCUACGGGAAGCAGCAGUGGGGAAUAUUGUACAAUGGGCGCAUGCCUAGUCCAACCAUGCCGCGUGUGUGAAGAUGGCCUUAUGGUUGUAAAGCACUUUAAGCUAGGAGGAGGCUACUUUAGUUAAUACCUAGAGAUAGUGUACGUUACUCACAGAAUAAGCACCGGCUAACUCUGUGCCAGCCGCCGCGGUAACAC
rnacentral:rRNA from 1 species